GCAUAGCUCAGCUGGCUAGAGCAGCUGAUUUGUAAUCAGCAGGUCGGGGGUUCGACUCCCUCUGCG
rnacentral:tRNA from 1 species